AUUGAACGCUGGCGGCAGGCCUAACACAUGCAAGUCGAGCGGAUGAAGGGAGCUUGCUCCUGGAUUCAGCGGCGGACGGGUGAGUAAUGCCUAGGAAUCUGCCUGGUAGUGGGGGAUAACGUCCGGAAACGGGCGCUAAUACCGCAUACGUCCUGAGGGUGAAAGUGGGGGAUCUUCGGACCUCACGGUAUCAGAUGAGCCUAGGUCGGAUUAGCUAGUUGGUGGGGUAAAGGCCUACCAAGGCGACGAUCCGUAACUGGUCUGAGAGGAUGAUCAGUCACACUGGAACGGAGACACGGUCCAGACUCCUACGGGAGGCAGCAGUGGGGAAUAUUGGACAAUGGGCGAAAGCCUGAUCCAGCCAUGCCGCGUGUGUGAAGAAGGUCUUCGGAUUGUAAAGCACUUUAAGUUGGGAGGAAGGGCAGUAAGUUAAUACCUUGCUGUUUUGACGUUACCAACAGAAUAAGCACCGGCUAACUUCGUG
rnacentral:rRNA from 1 species